UUCCAGACUCCUACGGGAGGCAGCAGUGGGGAAUAUUGCACAAUGGGGGAAACCCUGAUGCAGCGACGCCGCGUGAGUGAAGAAGUAUUUCGGUAUGUAAAGCUCUAUCAGCAGGGAAGAUAAUGACGGUACCUGACUAAGAAGCCCCGGCUAACUACGUGCCAGCAGCCGCGGUAAUACGUAGGGGGCAAGCGUUAUCCGGAUUUACUGGGUGUAAAGGGUGCGUAGGUGGCAUGGCAAGUCAGAAGUGAAAGCCCGGGGCUCAACCCCGCGGACUGCUUUUGAAACUGUCAGGCUGGAGUACAGGAGAGGUAAGCGGAAUUCCUAGUGUAGCGGUGAAAUGCGUAGAUAUUAGGAGGAACACCAGUGGCGAAGGCGGCUUACUGGACUGUAACUGACACUGAGGCACGAAAGCGUGGGGAGCAAACAGGAUUAGAUACCCGAGUA
rnacentral:rRNA from 1 species